rnacentral:lncRNA from 1 species
AAAAGAUUUGAACGUGCCUAUGAUAGUUCGAUAAAUAUUACACCAAAGCAACAAAUUACAUUAGCGGCUGAACUGCUGGAUUCAAAUCUCGCGAUGAAACUAAACUAAAAUUUAUCUGGGAAGAGGCUUAGUUUGAUGAUCAUGUCAAUUGAACUUUUUGGAUUCCUAAACCUAUUGCUCUGGGUCUUAAGUCUCUGGUGAGCAGUGAUGGAUUUGAUUCUUGGAUCAAAACUUGCAGUAGACCAACCCUUCUGUCCUGUAAUUCACCCCAAUCAAAAAUCAAAACAUUAAUGAGGCAGAAAUAACGAACUCCUCAAAUUGGGUAUAAAAAUUAGUCACAGGUAUUGCUAACACGAGCACAUUAUCUUUUCAUCUCAGAGCGUUUAAUUGAUUCUGGUAGAGCUACACAUGUAAGCACGAGCGUACGACUCUGUUUUGAGGCGGCCCAGCCUACCGGAUUUUUGAAUUUACCUUCUUAACACCAUUUCGGACACAAAUGGUACAUUACAAGAUCACAGAUGCUCAACUCUCCCCUCUUAGGCAUGAAAAUCUUUUGGAUUUUUNAAAUAAGGUAUAAUGAUAUCGGAUUUUGAAUUUAAUUAAAAAUUUUUGGGUUUUUUAGGCUAUGAGUGCGGUUUGUAGUGGAAAUAUGGGCUUUGAUUAUUAUGAAUGAGUUUGCAUUGAGGACAUUGUACAUGCAAUUAGAUAUGGUGGAGAAUUUUUGCAUUUUUUAGUUUUAUUUUGUUAUGGGUGACAAUUCAGAAGUUCUUCAGGUGGGAGUAGGGGAGGAUUGAUUGAUUGGGUGAUAUGUGAAAUUUCUCAAUCUAUGCUGCCGUGUGAAGUGUGGGGUAUUGAGGUGAUUUUUGAGCGAUCGUGUGUUAGAUCUAUAUACAUGCCUUAAACGCAAAUUCCUACUGUUGGGUAGGGAAAAUGCACUUGAAAGGAUACUAAAAUCUUCGAGAAGUUUGUAGUUAGUACAGAGGCGUUUUAGAAUUGGAAUUUGAAAUGAUUUUUGUGCAUUCCAAUUUCAGGAUAAUAUAAUGCUGUGAACAGAUUAAAAAAAGAUUAAUAUGUAUGCGCAUAUAAGAUUAGAUCUUGGAUGCUUGAGCACAUACUGCCCUUUUAUGUGAAAAGAUAAAAAAAAACAAUGUCCUUUAGGUUUGUAUAUGCAUGCGCGUAUAAGAUUAGAUCUUGGAUGCUUGAGUGUGCUGGCAAUAUCUAUUGCCGUUUCAAUUGAGGGUUUAUAAUCCUGUGGCUGCCACAGACAUUGGUCAUUAUUUCUUUUAAUACAGUUAAUAAUUGGAGAAUGGAGAGGGAAAUAGAAAAUCAGCGUAAACUCAGUGAGUUUUUACUAUUGCAUCAAUGGAUCUUCAUUAUUGAUGUAACUGGGCAUGUGAAGAUGGGUACGAGUCUAAGAAGGUAGUACAUUAGGAGAGUCUUGUUGUGGAGAGGGAGAUAUCAUUUUUGAUACCAAAGUGGAACUUUGGUUAUGUACCUGGUUGCACUCACUUAAGCUCCCAAGAAUAUUAAUUAAUUAAUUUAAUUUUUUUGAGAGAAAAUUGGAAGCGCAAUAAAGUUGUCCUCGUUCUGAAAAACUCAAACUGAACUCAAAGAAAUCCCAAAUGCCAGUGUUUGUUCUCAAGAUAAGCCAAAAUUCGGAGUAAGUCAAGUGAGUACCUUUCUUAUGUGUGGAAACCAUGCAGUCUGCUGUCUUUCCGCCCUCCAGGCACUGUUUCUUCUGGGUGGAGGUGAGCACUAGUACUUUCACACAUAAAUGUUAUUGCUGUUAUAAUACUUUGAUUGGCUUGCUUUACUGGUUAGAGGUGCGUGAUCAUCUUUUCUUGAAAGGAUAGAAAUUUGGUUUACUAUUUGACUUUGGGUGAAAUUUUCCUUUUCCUUCUUUAACAGGACGACGAGCUGUGAUAAAUAAUCAUCUGGCCACUUGUACUUUUAAGGAGUUACUGCCCAUCUAGAGUAUCCAAAUGUAUGUUUUUGGUUCCCAUUUACAUUUUUUAAAUUGCACUGUAUCCAAAAUUAUUACAGUCCUUUUCUCUGUUUGAAAUGCUCGUCUUUCACAUCCGGAUGAAACAAGAGGAUUAAUGUAUUGACUUGUACUGCUGUCAGCUUGUCUGUCGUUAUUCUAAUAAGUUGUUGCCAAACAUUAUUUUCUGCAUCCUUGCAUGUUCAUCGACAUGGCUUACUUGAAGUUAAGCAUUUUGAAAGUAUUACUUGUUUUAGUGAAACCUGUAUUGCAGUUUGCACAUAUAUUUCAAUAUUAUUCUUGUGCCUAGAUGGGAACCUUUUCUUAGUUCUAUGAGUUUGAUUUCUAAUUGAAAAAAGAAACGUCAUUUAUGGUUAAUGAAAUCUUACGUGACCUUUAUAGUAGUAUGAUAAAUACUUGAUGAAUAGCA